rnacentral:rRNA from 1 species
UACAGAGGGUGCGAGCGUUGUCCGGAAUCACUGGGCGUAAAGGGCGCGUAGGUGGCGCCCCAAGUCGAUGGUGAAAGCUCGCCGCUCAACGGCGAGUCGGCCACCGAUACUGGGGGGCUUGAGCACUGUAGAGGCAGAUGGAAUUCCGGGUGUAGCGGUGGAAUGCGUAGAGAUCCGGAAGAACACCGGUGGCGAAGGCGGGUCUCUGGGCCGAUACUGACGCUGAGGAGCGAAAGCGUGGGGAGCGAACAGG